CGGGGUGUAGCGCAGCCUGGAAGCGCACCAGCUUUGGGAGCUGGCCGUCGUGGGUUCAAAUCCCACCGCCCCGACCA
rnacentral:tRNA from 1 species